rnacentral:rRNA from 1 species
GAUGAACCGGAGUGGCCCGUUUCCGAUUCCGGGGAUGAGUGCUGCUUUGAGUUUGUCAUCCUUCCAGAGAGCUGCGCCUACCGUUGAUUCGGCCGGGUGUUGGCGAUCUGGAUAAAUUACUUUGAAAAAAUUAGAGUGUUUAAAGCAGGCUUAUGCUGUGAAUACAUUAGCAUGGAAUAAUAAUUUAGGACUUCGGUUCUAUUUUAUUGGUUUCUAGGACUGAAGUA